UACGUAGGGGGCUAGCGUUGUCCGGAAUCAUUGGGCGUAAAGCGCGUGUAGGCGGCCCGGUAAGUCCGCUGUGAAAGUCGGGGGCUCAACCCUCGGAAGCCGGUGGAUACUGUCGGGCUCGAGUACGGAAGAGGCGAGUGGAAUUCCUGGUGUAGCGGUGAAAUGCGCAGAUAUCAGGAGGAACACCUAUUGCGAAGGCAGCUCUCUGGUACGUGACUGACGCUGAGACGCGAAAGCGUGGGGAGCGAACAGG
rnacentral:rRNA from 1 species